rnacentral:tRNA from 1 species
GCUCUCGUAGUUCAACGGAUAGAACGCGAGCUUGCGGAGCUCGUAAUCUGGGUUCGAUUCCCGGCGAGGGCA